rnacentral:rRNA from 1 species
AACGAACGCUGGCGGCAAGCUUAACACAUGCAAGUCGAGCGCCCCGCAAGGGGAGCGGCAGACGGGUGAGUAACGCGUGGGAAUCUACCCAUCUCUACGGAAUAACGCAUGGAAACGUGUGCUAAUACCGUAUACGUCCUUCGGGAGAAAGAUUUAUCGGAGAUGGAUGAGCCCGCGUUGGAUUAGCUAGUUGGUGGGGUAAAGGCCUACCAAGGCGACGAUCCAUAGCUGGUCUGAGGAUGAUCAGCCACACUGGGACUGAGACACGGCCCAGACUCCUACGGGAGGCAGCAGUGGGGAAUAUUGGACAAUGGGCGCAAGCCUGAUCCAGCCAUGCCGCGUGGGUGAUGAAGGCCCUAGGGUUGUAAAGCUCUUUCACCGGUGAAGAUAAUGACGGUAACCGGAGAAGAAGCCCCGGCUAACUUCGUGCCAGCAGCCGCCGUAACAC